GACGAACGCUGGCGGCGUGCUUAACACAUGCAAGUCGAGCGGUAAGGCCCUUUCGGGGGUACACGAGCGGCGAACGGGUGAGUAACACGUGGGUGACCUGCCCUCAGCUCUGGGAUAAGCCUGGGAAACCGGGUCUAAUACUGGAUAUGACUCCAUGACGCAUGUUGUGGGGUGGAAAGCCUUGUGCGGCUGAGGAUGGGCCCGCGGCCUAUCAGCUUGUUGGUGGGGUGANGGGCCUACCAAGGCGACGACGGGUAGCCGGCCUGAGAGGGCGACCGGCCACACUGGGACUGAGACACGGCCCAGACUCCUACGGGAGGCAGCAGUGGGGAAUAUUGGACAAUGGCGCAAGCCUGAUCCAGCCAUGCCGCGUGAGUGAUGAAGGCCUUA
rnacentral:rRNA from 1 species